UUUGGAAGAGUCCCUAUUCUGUACAGCCACGCACUGAGGUUCAUUCUUCGGGGUCUUUGACACGCUCUGGCAACAAGCGCGGAGAGGCAAGAGCACAAGGAAACAAGCAGAAGGAAUUCAGAGAAACAGCUCCAGGCUCCAGCUCAAAGGCCGACACCAAAAGCGAACACCUCUGGGCGCUCUUGCCUUCAAGAAGGUGGGGAGGCUCACAGACGCAGCAUCCACCCCUCGCAGGGAACCUCAGUUCCUGGCCUGUGGUCCCAUGAAGGACAUCAGGCUGGCAGAUUGGAGCACACCCCUUCUUUCUAACCCCUCUUGAAAGCUUCCU
rnacentral:lncRNA from 1 species